CGGAGAACAGGAAAAAAGAUGCAAAUUAUUCAACCCAAAUGAGCUUGCACAUUCUGAUCCUUAUGGGCGAUGAACCAAAAUAUGUCCAGCCAAGGAAUUGCCGAAAUGAAUAAUUAUAUUAUUUUAAAAUAUGUAAUCUUUUACCAGCAGAAAAUUUAAAAAAAUAUAAGCAAAAGCAUUAAUCUUGGAAUGGCAACAUCGUUUCAACUCAAUUUUAG